UCGCCUGUUUAUCAAAAACAUGUCUUAUAGAUUUUAUUUUAAGUCUAACCUGCCCGUUGAUUAAUUGAAAGGCCGCAGAAUAUUAACUGUGCAAAGGUAGCAUAAUCACUAGUUUUUUAAUUGAAAGCUUGAAUGAAUGGUUGGACGAGGUAUUAACUGUUUCGCAUUAAAAGUUAGAACUUUAUUUUUUGGUUAAAAAGCCAAGAUUUUUUUGAAAGACGAGAAGACCCUAUAGAUCUUUAUAGUUAUUAUAAAAUUGAUAUUAAAGUUUUAUUGUUGUUUAUAUUAUAAUAAUUAUUUUGUUGGGGUGACAAAGAAAUUAAUUUAACUUUCUUAUGUUAAUUACAUUUAUUUUUGGUUUAUUGAUCCUUUAUUUUAGAUUAACAAAUUAAGUUACCUUAGGGAUAACAGCGUAAUUUUCUCAGAGAGUUCAUAUCGAUGAGAAAGAUUGCGACCUCGAUGUUGGAUUAAGAUUCAUUACUGGGCGCAGCAGUUCAGUUUUUUCGUCUGUUCGACUAUAGUUUCUUACAUGAUCUGAGUUCAAACCGGAGA
rnacentral:rRNA from 1 species